AUGAAGAAAGUUUGAAUUUUAUUUUUAUUAAAAUAGUCAAAUUUUAGAAAAUUUUACAUUUAAUUUUUUUCUAAAAUUUGGAAUGUAGAUAAAUAAUUUCUGUAAAAUUUGAUACCAAUUUCACUUAAAAUAGUUUUUUCCGAAAAAUGUUUAGGUAAAUGAAAUUGCUCAAAUUCAUUCAAGAAUUUGUUAGGAGGGCGGCCACUGCAGAAACGCUUAACUCAUCAAGUCCACAGGUCUUCCCGUCUGCAUUAGGCACUGUUGGCGUGGUAAAACGAAUUGUGCAUCUCAUAGAGCUUAAAGACAUAUUGGUCUCAAAUUAAUGGUAAUGCCAUCUUCUUCUCAAACUCAGACGUUUUCCGGGUCAAAGGUUGUCAGUUUCAUAACGCAGCAUGUUUUAAGGUUAGAAACGAUGGAAGUUUCAUAAAGUCUUGUUUUUUGGUAUGUUGGUCGAUGAGUUAAACAUUAUUACUUAAUCAAAUAAAAAUAAGACUCAUUAGCAACGACCCAAAGUAUAUGCAAAACUACAAAUAAUUCAGGAAAAAGUCUCAUAUAUUACGCAGCGCCCGCCCCUUUGAACUUAUGGAGUUAAAAUUCAAAUUUAAUCUCAAAUCAAAGCUAAUAAUAUCUUCUUUUGAAAACCAGAGGUCUUUCAAGUCAGAAAUUGGAACUUAGGU